GGUAAGAUGGCCGAGUAGGCAUUAGACUGUAAAUCUAAAGACAGGGGUUAAGUCCUCUUUUUACCA